rnacentral:rRNA from 1 species
CCUACGGGUUGCAGCAGUGGGGAAUAUCGCACAAUGGGCGCAAGCCUGAUGCAGCCAUGCCGCGUGUGUGAAGAAGGCCUUCGGGUUGUAGAGCACUUUCAGCGAGGAGGAAGGUGGCGAGCUUAAUACGCUCAUCAAUUGCCGUUACUCGCAGAAGAAGCACCGGCUAACUCCGUGCCAGCAGCCGCGGUAAUACGGAGGGUGCAAGCGUUAAUCGGAAUUACUGGGCGUAAAGCGCACGCAGGCGGUUUGUUGAGUCAGAUGUGAAAUCCCCGGGCUCAACCUGGGAACUGCAUUUGAAACUGGCAAGCUAGAGUCUCGUAGAGGGGGGUAGAAUUCCAGGUGUAGCGGUGAAAUGCGUAGAGAUCUGGAGGAAUACCGGUGGCGAAGGCGGCCCCCUGGACGAAGACUGGCGCUCAGGUGCGAAAGCGUGGGGAGCAAACAGGAUUAGAUACCCUCGUAGUC